UUUUUUUUUUUUAGAGAAAAAGUCCUCUAUGACAAUCUCUCAAAAAUACAGGUUUGUGACACUAGAAAUAAAUUGCCAGAUUGUCUUUAUUUUUGUAAUUUUCGUCAUUGAAUUCCCAGAAUGCCUGAGUUAAUUAUUGAACAAAGCCUCAUAGUAGUCUCUUUGUACCAGAAGAGUGCAAGGCCACAAGCACAAGGAGUAUACAAUUGCUAAUAACAUGCAAUUUAUUCUAGCAUUCUAUUCUAACGUAGUAGAAAUUAAUAGAAAUUUUGGGUUAGUAGUAUCACCUGGGAGAAGGUUAUGAAUAGGAUAAGCAUGGGAAUGCCAAUCUCUACGCACCGCCCG
rnacentral:misc_RNA from 1 species